rnacentral:misc_RNA from 1 species
AAGUCGUAACAAGGUUUCCGUAGGUGAACCUGCGGAAGGAUCAUUAAAUAAAACUUGAGGGGAAACUGAGCUUACGGGCUUGGUUUUUCUCUUAUUUUUUACCGUGAACUGUCUUAUAGCAUGGCGCUAGUAGAGAUGCCUGAGCCACCAUACGGGGUAGGCGGCACAGGAUGAUUUUAAUCGAAGCCAUGGUCAAGCCGACUUUUUUCAGCUUGGUACCCCAAAAAUUAAUUAUUCUACCAAAUGAAUUCAGUAUUAAUAUUGUAACAUGGGCUCGCUGAAAGGUGGCCUAUAAAACAACUUUUAACAACGGAUCUCUUGGUUCUC